GUGUUUGCUCACUUCAGCAGCACGUAUACCAAAAUUGGAACAAUACAGAGAAGAUCAGCAUGGCCCCUGUGCAAAGAUGACACGCAAAUUUGUGAAGGGGUCGAUAUUUUA